CUCACACAUACAACACCUAAAACACACACUAGUUCACGCCAUUUUCAUUUUAGUUUGAGCUCAAGCUUUUGACCUCCGAUUUGAGCACCGAGACGAGCGCCGAUCAUCUUUUCGAUCACGUAUCUAAGUAGGUCCUUUUGGGAAGUAACGACUUGAGGGAGAGAGUGACGUUACUCAUUGAUACAGAGACACAACGAGGUUGAGCUGAUGUGAUGAUGGUGCUGCAAUGAGCGGAGUCUCCAGGGUUGUUAAUAAAUAGUUAACCUGUCUAGAAUAUGUCUUCAUACAUAUGUCUAGCUACUUUCCGCUGUAAGAUGUUGUUGAUGUUAUAGUAUGUUAUGUCAUACUUUGAGUCUUAAGAGAAUGGUUUCAUACGAUGUAUAACUUGAUUAAUGAUAUUAAUUAAGUUUUAUGCUGUCUUUCAUAGACUGUUUUCAAUUGAGUA